AGAGGGGGCAAGCGUUGUUCGGAAUUACUGGGCGUAAAGGGCGCGUAGGCGGCCCUCUAAGUCGAACGUGAAAUCCCUGGGCUCAACCCAGGAACUGCGUCCGAGACUGGGGGGCUAGAAUCCGGGAGAGGGAUGUGGAAUUCCAGGUGUAGCGGUGAAAUGCGUAGAUAUCUGGAGGAACAUCGGUGGCGAAGGCGGCAUCCUGGACCGGUAUUGACGCUGAGGCGCGAAAGCCAGGGGAGCAAACGGGAUUAGAUACCCCGGUAGUCCUGGCCCUAAACGAUGAAUGCUUGGUGUGGCGGGUAUCGAUCCCUGCCGUGCCGAAGCUAACGCAUUAAGCAUUCCGCCUGGGGAGUACGGUCGCAAGGCUG
rnacentral:rRNA from 1 species